rnacentral:ncRNA from 1 species
GAGUACUUUGAAAAAAAAGCAAGAUAGUACUCCCCUAGACAAGGAUGGAAUUGCAUAAAUGACUGGAAGAGGCUCCUAAAAAAACCAUUUGUUGUAAAAUUUUGC